AAAGCGUGCGCAGGCGGUUUUGUAAGUCUGACGUGAAAUCCCCGGGCUCAACCUGGGAAUUGCGUUGGAGACUGCAAGGCUAGAAUCUGGCAGAGGGGGGUAGAAUUCCACGUGUAGCAGUGAAAUGCGUAGAGAUGUGGAGGAACACCGAUGGCGAAGGCAGCCCCCUGGGUCAAGAUUGACGCUCAUGCACGAAAGCGUGGGGAGCAAACAGGAUUAGAUACCCGAGU
rnacentral:rRNA from 1 species